UUAUGGGUCAUAUGUCCCCCACUCAUAUGGAAGUGCAAUAGCUCAGGUUUAAUUUCCUUUAAUGCUUCCAUUGCAUGCUAACUAAAAAAAGAUAAAAACAAACAAUAAAAAGAUCUUUUUCAAAAGAAAAAAAGCACACUUGAUCCAACGUCAAGUGUUUUCCAAAUCAAAUUCCCUUCAAAGAAACGUGAGUGCUUGAUCCAACGUCAAGUAUCUCACAAUCAUUAUCAUUCCAUUCUCU
rnacentral:lncRNA from 1 species